GGCCAGACUCCUACGGGAGGCAGCAGUGGGGGAUAUUGCACAAUGGGGGAAACCCUGAUGCAGCGAUGCCGCGUGAGUGAAGACGGCCUUCGGGUUGUAAAGCUCUGUCGCAGAGGACGAAAAUGACGGUACCUGACUAAGAAGCCCCGGCUAACUACGUGCCAGCAGCCGCGGUAAUACGUAGGGGGCAAGCGUUAUCCGGAUUUACUGGGUGUAAAGGGAGCGUAGACGGUGCAGCAAGUCUGAUGUGAAAGGUCGGGGCCCAACCCCGGGACUGCAUUGGAAACUGUUGAACUGGAGUACAGGAGAGGUAAGCGGAAUUCCUAGUGUAGCGGUGAAAUGCGUAGAUAUUAGGAGGAACACCAGUGGCGAAGGCGGCUUACUGGACUGUAACUGACGUUGAGGCUCGAAAGCGUGGGGAGCAAACAGGAUUAGAUACCCGUGUA
rnacentral:rRNA from 1 species